rnacentral:misc_RNA from 1 species
CUCCACUAUCACUGUCGCUGCUAUUGUAACACCUACAAUACAUGGAAAUAAGUGCAUUUCCCACGUAAAUACUAGCACCUAAACCGAUUUUCAAAUCAAGCGCAUGCACCUGCUUGCCAUGCUCAUAGUCACCACAAGUAAGCACACUUGUAAAAGCAAAUUCAUUCGGCCUGCAAUGCAUUAGCAUAUCAGAAAACAAACGAGAGCACUCAUAGGCUUGCCCUUGUUGCGC